GAUGAAGAACGUAGCGAAAUGCGAUAAGUAAUGUGAAUUGCAGAAUUCAGUGAAUCAUCGAAUCUUUGAACGCACCUUGCACCCUUUGGCAUUCCGAAGGGUAUGCUCGUUUGAGUGUCAUUGUACUCUCACACUUCCAAUCUUUGGAUUGGGAGCAGUGGACUUGGGUGUUGCUGCUUACUGUGGCUCACCUCAAAUCGAUUCGUGCACCUCUUGGUUGGACAUAGUACGGCGUGAUAAGUGUCUUCGCCGGCACCUCAGUAGAGGGUGGCUGAUCAGGAGCUCUGUGCUUCAAACCGUCCUCGGACAACAACUGACAACUAGACCUCAAAUCGAGUAGGACUACCCGCUGAACUUAAGCAUAUCAAUAAGCGGAGGA
rnacentral:misc_RNA from 1 species